rnacentral:lncRNA from 1 species
UCAGAUUCAAGCUGCAAAGAGUCUGUCAAUCUGGGGAGAAUAAACAUUAGGCUUUCAACCAACGCCAAAGCUUUUGCUUGUUGAGGUGAGGUCGUUGCAAUUUCUUUGGAGAACCCAUCAAUCAUCCUCCCCGACGCAUCUCGGACAACGCAAGCUAUAGCCGCACGCUUCCUUCCUCUGUUCAUCUCAUCUCGGAAUCGUUCCUCUGAAUCUCCAUCCACCAGAGCUGCUACUCAAAAGUCUCCACUGUUCACAUCUAUACUCGGCUCGGUUAGGGUUAGAUCUGCGAAAUAUUAAGCAAACGAGGCCUCCUCUGAAGAUCCUGCUCUAUUCUUCUCCCUUCUCGGCUCUAGAUCCCCUUUGUUCGUGCCCCUGUUAGGCUCGGGUCGGGUCGAGGCAACAGAAGCUCAAGCAAAAGAGUUGAUCGUUGGAGUACCUUCUUCGUUUGUCUCUAUUACUGGUGCAGCUCCUUUUCUUUGUCAUCCCUGUUCAUCUCGAUUUGUGGUGGGAUUUCAGAGUAAUCUUCAUCAAACACGGCAUUUGCUGGAGAAUCUCCUCUGUUUACAGCUGUGCUCAGUACAGUAUGGGGUAGAUCUACAAGAUCUCUAGCAAACAAGGCCUCCUCAGAAGAUCCUGCAGUGUUCUUCUUAAUCCUCGACGCUGGGUCUCUGCCAUUCAUUCUCCUUUUAGGCUUGGGUCGGGUCAAACCAACAGGGGCUCGAGCGAAGGAGGUGACCGACGGGGUUCGUCCACCUUGAGCCUCUGAUGCGAUUGCAGCUCCUCUUCUUAUAUCAUCCCUGUUUAUCUCGUUUCGUAGUGGGAUUUCGAUGUAAUCUCCUUUCAACAAAGCAUCUGCUCGAUAUUCGCCACUGUUCACAUUUGUAUUCUGCUCGGUUAUGGGUAGAUCUUCAAGAAUUCGAGCAAGCAAGGCCUCCUCUGCAAAUCUUUCUUUGUUUUGCUCUGUUCAUUCCCCUGUUAAACGUUGGUCGGAUCGAAGCAGCAGAAGCUUGAUCGAGAUAGAUGACCGCCGGAGAUCCUCCAUUGUUAGUCUCUGUUACAGUUGCAUAUCCUCUUCUGUUUUCAUCCGUAUUCAUCUCGGUUUGUGUUGGGAGUCCGGGAUUUCAAUUAAUGGAAAUAGCUGCUUGAAACCCUCCUCUGUUCGCCUCCGUAUUGUGUUAAGCUUGGGAUGGGUCUUCAAAUUCAGGAAAGAAAGAGGCGUCAAUAUUAAUCUUAAGGACACCAGAACUCGGUUUUUGCCACUAUUUGGUAUGUUUUGCUAUGUUGCUUGUUCUGGUUUUGUUUCCAUUCUAGGUCUGAAAGCUGUCGUUAUGGGCUAUUGCUCUGUCUAAAGUUUGCUGCGGAUUUAGGGGCAUUUUCCUGAAGAUUACAUUGUUUUGAUCCUUCCAAAUACACCAUAGGGUCAUUGCUACAAGGUUAAACUGAUGUGAGGUUCUUGGAUCCUCCCUUAGCUUUAUUACCCACUCGUUGAAAUGAGUAAGACCCAUUAUUUUGAUGCAAAUUUGUAGAGGAUGUUGACGCCAUAGUAGUGACAUCCAAGGACAGAGCAGCAAGGUAUGUUCGAUAGUCUCGGGUUCCUAUUUGCAUAAUGGGUAUACUGGUGCAGGUGCGAUCUUCCUUCUAUAUAGAUUUUCCAACGUAGGCAGGGCAUUAUGACAAGCAUUACAUAGAAAAAUUUUAACUUUGGCGUUGUUCCUACUUUCCAAAUAUAUUUCCACAAAUUUGGUUUGGCCUGAUAAGAAGAUGAUGCUCUUCCUGUGAUAUCGCUGGUUGUGAGACUCCUGUUUCUGAAGUAUCCACUUUUUAACCGUCUAUUUCCCUGAUUUAUUGUCAGCCCAAAUUAGUUUAUCGUCUGUGGUCGAUCACCCUAUAGGGAUGGCAAGAAUUUCAGUUACCAUUUGUUCAUCAAACAAAGUCUCCAGUAAGGGUUCAUUCCAUUUUCCCUCCUCAAUAUCUAACAAGUUAGCCACUUUAAGUGGCUCAUUCCUUGGACCUUUCUUAAGCCAUCUAUCGUUUCUAAUGGAGAUUUUCUUUUCAUUCCCAACCGCCCACAUGAUUUUAGGAGAGAUAGCAUCCCUCUCCAUUAUAAGACUUUGCCAACCCCACGAAGGCCUAUACCCUCUUCUAGCAGUCAAAAAGACCCCUUGUGGAAAAUAUAAUCCCUUCAUAACUCGAUCCCAAAUUGUAUCUGGCUGCUAAGUUAAUUGCCAAGCUUGUUUCCCGAGCAUAACUUUAUUAAAUCCCUCUAAUUCUUUGAAUUUGAGGCCUCCUUCAUCCUUUCUAAGUUUUAAACUUUUCCAUUUUUUCCAAUGCAAACCAACUAAUUUUGCGCUUGUUUUCCACCAAAAAUUGGCAAUUUUUCUCUCAAUAGCUUUACAAAUCGAAAGAGGAAUUUUGAAAAUGGACAUGGCGUAUUGAGGAAUAGCCUACACCACAGCCUUUAUCAAUAUUUCAUUCCUAACUUUGGACAAUAAGUUCUCUUUCCAACUCUCCAAUUUCUUAUUGACUCUAGCAAGAAUCCAAGUAAACAGCUUUUUUUUUUUAUCCCCCAAUUCGAUGAAAUUUCAAGAUAUUCCUGUUUUUUCAAUUAUAGGAACUCGUAAUUCAGAAGCCAUAUUUCUCUUCAAACUUUCUGGACAGCCUUUACUAAAGUAUAUCCCAGAUUUGUUUAGAUUAAUGGCCUAACCAAAAACAAAGCAGUAUUGAUGUAGAAUAGUUGCUAUUUUCUAACAUUCUACUAUAGUUCCAUGUAGGAAAAAAAUAGUCAUCCGCAAAUAAAAGAUGCGACAAAGUAGGACGGUUAUGAAUCAAUUUAAUUCAUUGAAUAGUACCUACUGAGACUGCUUGCUUAAUUAACAUAGAGAGUACGUUGGCCACUAGAAUGAAGAGAUAAGGAGACAACAUAUCGCAUUGGCAAAUUCCUCUAGUUGGUUUGAAAUAAGGCAUGGGCUCCCUAUUAACUUUAAUGCUAAAAGAUACCAAAGAGACACAUUCCAUUACCCAAUUAACCCAUUUUCCACAAAAACCCAUCUCAAUUAGGCACUCUCGGAGAAAGUCUCAUUCUAUUCAGUCAUAAGUCUUUUGCAUGUCCAGCUUUAAAACCACUUGGAACAUUUUUGUCCUCUCUCGUGUUCUUAUUCUAUGUAACACCUCCUGUACGAUCAAGAUAUUAUCUUGAAUCUGGUGUCUUCCUACAAAGGCGCUCUGUUCUACUUCAAUUAGGUUGGGGAGUAAAGGUUCCGGCCUAUUCGUCACAUCUUGGAGAUGAUUUUGUAGAUAAAAUUGCAUAGGUUUAUAGGGCGGAAUUGUUCUACCUUCUCUGAAUUUGGGAUUUUUGGAAUAAGGGUUAUUGAUGUUAUGAUAAGCUCAGGAUUUAAGUAUCCCGUGUCAAAAAACUACUGCACCUCCUUGAAAAUCUCUUGAUUUAAGUCCUUCCAAUGCUGUUGAAGGAAUAACCCAUUAAACCCAUCAGGCUUGGGAGCUUUAGUAGCUCCUAAUUGGUAUACUGCAGCUGUAAGUUCCUCCAUUGUGAUAGGCUGUGUCAGUUUUUGAUUCAUAUUUGCAUCGAUCGAGCAUGGAAUUUAGUCUAAUAUUGGCUGAAAAUUUCCGUUCCCCUCCAAUUGAAACAGAUCUUUAAAGUACUCCCCUAUCAAUUCCUUAAUAACCUUCUCAUCUCUCAUCUAUUGCCCUUCUGAAUUUUUCAGCAUAGUGAUUCUAUUCCGGAUUCUUCUUUGGAUAGUAGUAGCAUGAAAAAAUUUAGUGUUUCUAUCCCUCCAUUUAAGCCAACUAAUUCUUGAUCUCAUCUCCCAAUAUAACUCCUCUUGCCGCCAUAGACUCUCAAUUUCUUGGUUUAUCCUUUGGACUUUCACAUGAUCAUUCGGCCCCCUGUGAUUAUUUAUCAGUACUUGGAGCUCAUAUCUUAGCCAUGAAAUUCUCUUAUGUGCAUUAGAGAAUCUGUUUUUACUCCGUUCCGCCAAGUUCUAGGUCACUAUAUUUAAUUUAUCAACAAGAUUGCUCCUUGAAGAAUUUGUCGAAACUCAAGCUUUCUCCACUAUUUCUCCACAUUCCUCAUCCUCCGUCCAAUAAGCUUCAUAUCGGAACAUUCUUCGUCUACGAUCAUUCCUAGGGAAAAUUGAUAAAAUCAAUGAGCUAUGAUCUGAGCUAAUGGCUGGUAAGGCUAGGUAUUCUACAUUAGGAUAUGCUAAUCUCCACUCUAUUGUACAAACUGCUCUAUCAAGCUUUUCCUUAACAAAGGCAUCAUCUUCUCUAUUAUUAGUCCAGGUAAAUGCACAAUCUUUGCUUUCCAAAUCCAUUAAAUAACAAGCAUGCAAAAAAUCCUUAAAUGCUGUCAUUUGGUAAUGCUCAACCAUUCGCCUUCCUUCUUUCUCCUAGUGAUACAAGACUUCAUUGAAAUCGCCUAGACAUAGCCAAGGAAGCUGGUUUGUAAUGCUAUCUUUAUGGAUUGACUCCCAUAAAAGCACUCUUCCUCUAAAAUCAUUGAGGGCAUGCACAAAGGUGAUUCUCAUGAGCUGUCGUAGUUCUAAGAUUUGACAAUGAACAUUUAUAUAGGUCCCAGAAUACCCCUCAAUUGUUAAAUUAACCUGGUCAUCCCAAAACAAAGCCAAACCUCUAGGUAAACCCUCUAGAUGCACUAAAAAACAAUUCUAAAAUUUGAGUCGCCUUCUGACGCGUUGCACUAUUUGCUCUUGAUUUUUUUGUUUCCAUUAAGAACAUUAAACUGGGCCUUUCUUGAGCCACUAAGGAUCUCAAUGCUUGAAUUGUCAAGGGCGUGCCUAACCCUUGACAAUUCCAACUUAGGACUUUCAUGGAUAACCCGGUGGCUUAUUAGAGCUAGCUACCAAAGCCCACUGCAUUGACUUUUCAUCUACCUCAAUGGGUGUCUCGACAAGCUAUGAGUUAUCUAAUACCGAAGUUUUGGAGGAUCGAGCUCCAUAAGGGCAUAAUCUUUUGUCUUUCUUCACUAAGGGAAGCUUAGUGCUUCUAGAUUUUGUCUUUGUCACUCCUUUCGCAGCUUAUGCUAUUUCCAGCAUGUUCUAUUCUGUUUCCUUCAGUUGUUCCUUAUAGCACACCAAUGAAGACUCCUCAUCCGGGCAAUUACUUCCCCUCUUUUGUUUUCCUUUGUCUUCAAUAACUAUUAAGGCUAAGGAUGAUGAAGAAUGAGUAUCUGUUUGUUGUGCUAAACUUUCCUCGGGCUGCUUCUCACAUAUAGGCAUGAUUGAGUUCCUUGACUCCUCAAGGUGAGGGGAUGUAGGUGUUUCAGCGACCAUAUCUUCCCCCUCCUCAAUGAAAUCCUGUUCAUCAUAGAAAAUUUUCCCAUAUGAACUAAGUUCUUUGACCUCCGCUCUCAACCAUUGCCCCAACUUCCCCAGUCAAUUUUCCUCAAGGCUUGAAUCUUUAUAUGGCAUCUCAGUAUAGAAAGUGGCAUAGUGCCCAAUUCUUCCACAAUAGUAACAAUAAUGCGGGAGUCUUUCGUAUUUAAAUUCCACCAAAACCUUUUUCCUACCCAAGUUAAUAAUGACUCUAGUCUUUAAAGAGGCAACCGGGUUCAGGUUAACUCUUGCUUUGCCUACCUUGUAGUUGUUGGUUCCUUUGGCUUCUAGUUUCACCUCCACAACUUCUCCAAUUUUCAAUGCCACAUCUUUCACAAUUUCUUGUGUAACUCGACCAAAUGGGAGACCAUAAAGGUGUACCCAAAAUGCAUAGUGGGUAAACUCAUAGCAUAAUUCAGGAGUAUCUAGCUGAAAUUGUUGUAAAAACUAACAAAUUGCUGGAAAAUGACCAGGGCCUUGAGUGUAAAACUUUCUGUUUUUCAGCUUCGAAGGCAAAAGAGAAGGAGAAAAACCCUGGCUCUAAUAAGGCACAAUCCACAUUUUCUGUUUUCCAAGCUCUCUUCAUAGUGUUAAGAAAGGCUUGAAAAUUAACAUUAGGCUUAAAAUAUAGCUUCCCAAACAAAGUUAGUUUGCAUUCAUUCAGUCUUUCUUCAGAAAUUUCUUCUCACACAUCCACAAAAUCAUCUUCAAACCAUAGAUUGCCAAGCUUUUGCACAAAGCUACCAUUCUUCUUUCAUCAUUAUGCUCAUUAUCCAUUACGAUUUCUCUUACACAGGUUGAUAAAGAGAUUCUCAAGCCACAGCAACUGUCCGAGAAGAGAAAAGAAGAAAAUUACCCUAAGGAUGUCUUGCGAAGCUUAGCCCUGAAGACCAAACUCUUUGGCGUAGCUACGAUAGCUUGAAGGGAGCUCUCCGCAAGUUGAUGGUUGAAAAAUAAUGGGUUGAAGCUCCAAUUGGGUGGAAAAUCGGUGUGGUUAUAAGGAUUCUUUGGGUAUUCUUGGGUUUGGGAUAAAACCGAGAAGGUUGGAGUUUGCGAUUCCAAAUGGGUGGAUUAUCAAUAAGGAUCUUAGGGUUUUGUGGGUUUUCUUGAAUGUAGGUUUUGUGGGUUUUGUGAAGUACCGAAGGAUGGGUGAAAGAAGAGGUUGAAUGGGGAAGAGAUAACUAUGGGGGAUUAAAAACGUUAGAUUGGGGGAAUUUCGGGAUUAUAGGUGAUGGGGCAGCCAUUACUACACUGGAAGUAGAGAAUUCUACACAAGCGGUAGAGAGAAAAC